GACGGAGGGUGCAAGCGUUGUCCGGAAUCAUUGGGCGUAAAGAGUUCGUAGGUGGUAUGUUAAGUCUGGUGUUAAAGCCCGAAGCUCAACUUCGGUUCGGCACUGGAUACUGGCAAACUUGAAUGUGGUAGAGGUAAAGGGAAUUCCUGGUGUAGCGGUGAAAUGCGUAGAUAUCAGGAGGAACAUCAGUGGCGUAAGCGCUUUACUGGGCCAUAAUUGACACUGAGGAACGAAAGCCGGGGUAGCAAAUGGG
rnacentral:rRNA from 1 species